UAGGGAAUCUUCCACAAUGGGCGCAAGCCUGAUGGAGCAACACCGCGUGAGUGAAGAAGGGUUUCGGCUCGUAAAGCUCUGUUGUUAAAGAAGAACACGUAUGAGAGUAACUGUUCAUACGUUGACGGUAUUUAACCAGAAAGUCACGGCUAACUACGUGCCAGCAGCCGCGGUAAUACGUAGGUGGCAAGCGUUAUCCGGAUUUAUUGGGCGUAAAGAGAGUGCAGGCGGUUUUCUAAGUCUGAUGUGAAAGCCUUCGGCUUAACCGGAGAAGUGCAUCGGAAACUGGAUAACUUGAGUGCAGAAGAGGGUAGUGGAACUCCAUGUGUAGCGGUGGAAUGCGUAGAUAUAUGGAAGAACACCAGUGGCGAAGGCGGCUACCUGGUUUGCAACUGACGCUGAGACUCGAAAGCAUGGGUAGCGAACAGGAUUAGAUACCCUGGUAGUCCAUGCCGUAAACGAUGAGUGCUAGGUGUUGGAGGGUUUCCGCCCUUCAGUGCCGGAGCUAACGCAUUAAGCACUCCGCCUGGGGAGUACGACCGCAAGGUUG
rnacentral:rRNA from 1 species